AUGCUUUUUUUCUAGUUCUUAAAUGUGACAAUUGGGUUUUCAUGUGUCUGUGUGAGAUGUGCAUCCCUCAAACCUUGUUAUAACACCAGCAUGUUACUCACCUCACC